rnacentral:rRNA from 1 species
GACAAACGCUGGCGGCAUGCCUAACACAUGCAAGUCGAACGGACAGAACAGGGAAGCUUUUCGGAGUGGAACUGGAAAGUUAGUGGCGGAUGGGUGAGUAACGCGUGGACAACCUACCUUGUAAAGGGGAAUAACCUCGAGAAAUCGAAGCUAAUACCCCAUAAUAACCUUGCUUCGCAUGAAGUAAGGAGGAAAGGCGGCCUUAGCGCUGUCGAUACAAGAUGGGUCCGCGUCUGAUUAGCUAGUUGGUGAGGUAAAGGCUCACCAAGGCGACGAUCAGUAGCCGGCCUGAGAGGGUGAACGGCCACAUUGGAACUGAGACACGGCCCAAACUCCUACGGGAGGCAGCAGUGGGGAAUCUUCCGCAAUGGGCGAAAGCCUGACGGAGCAAUGCCGCGUGAGUGAAGAAGGCCUUCGGGUUGUAAAACUCUGUCCUUAUCGAAGAGAGAGUGUUGUAGUAACUGACAAUACUAGGACGGUAGAUGAGGAGGAAGCCCCGGCUAACUAUGUG